AACACAGUUUAAUUGCCAAACACGCAGCUGUCUUGUUGUGGAUAGUUUGUGUACUUUUCUGCGUUUGUGAUUAUGGGUCUUUGGUUGAGACCCUCCCACUCCAGUUUCAUGCUCUUAUUUCAUUAUCGUAUUUCUAAUAUUCAUAGGACUGCAGACAUGGUGUAAACCUCUGUCUCUCCGUUCCUUUGGAAUAUUGAGGAGUCUUUGGAUGAACUCGCGUUUACUUCUGGCAUGUGUAGCUUGCAAACCUUCACGUGGGCUUGAUGAUCAUUUUCUGUUGUUGUUGGAUGAGCCUUAGCAAUGUCAUCGCCGAUCGCAUCAUUUCGCAUGUCAUGACGGCGGUGCAGUGGGGGAAGUCAACUAAUUUUCCCAAGCUGAUAAAAAUCCACCAGUCUAAGUAAGUUCUCUUGGUUGGGGAGUCAUUUGGGUGGUAACGAAGCAGUGGACGAGGCAAUCAAUCGAGCACACCAUUGAGACAUGGAUCAACCUCCACUGAUUGACGGAGCUGUGGUGACUAAGAUUGACACCAUUGAUGAUAAAAUUGAGUGAUAUUAAUAACCUUUGAUAGUCACUACUUA
rnacentral:lncRNA from 1 species